UGAGUUUAUUUGCACUAAAGU
rnacentral:piRNA from 1 species